UACGGAGGGUGCAAGCGUUAAUCGGAAUUACUGGGCGUAAAGCGCACGCAGGUGGCUGAGUCAGUCGAUUGUGAAAGCCCUGGGCUUAACCUGGGAAUUGCAGUCGAUACUACUCAGCUAGAGUAUGGGAGAGGGUAGUGGAAUUCCCGGUGUAGCGGUGAAAUGCGUAGAUAUCGGGAGGAACAUCAGUGGCGAAGGCGGCUACCUGGCCCAAUAUAGACACUCAGGUGCGAAAAGCGUGGGGGAGCAAACAGG
rnacentral:rRNA from 1 species